rnacentral:rRNA from 1 species
UACGUAGGGGGCAAGCGUUGUCCGGAAUCAUUGGGCGUAAAGAGCGCGUAGGCGGCCCAGUAAGUCCGCUCUGAAAGUCAGGGGCUCAACCCCUGGAUGCGGGUGGAUACUGCUGGGCUAGAGUCCGGAAGAGGUGAGUGGAAUUCCUGGUGUAGCGGUGAAAUGCGCAGAUAUCAGGAGGAACACCGAUGGCGAAGGCAGCUCCCUGGGCUGAGAUUGACGCUGAUGCGCGAAAGCCAGGGGAGCAAACGGG